rnacentral:rRNA from 1 species
CAAUAGCGUAUAUUAAAGUUGUUGCAGUUAAAAAGCUCGUAGUUGGAUUUGUGGCGUACGGUGGGUUCCGGGCACUUGUUGUCUGAGUAACUUGCUGUUGCCAUCCUUGGGUGGAACCUGUGUGGCAUUAGGUUGUCGUGCAGGGGAUGCCCAUCAUUUACUGUGAAAAAAUUAGAGUGUUCAAAGCAGGCUUAUGCCGUUGAAUAUAUUAGCAUGGAAUAAUGAGAUAGGACUUUUUUGCUAUUUUGUUGGUUUGCGCAAAGAGGUAAUGAUUAAUAGGGACAGUUGGGGGUAUUCGUAUUCCAUUGUCAGAGGUGAAAUUCUUGGAUUUUUGGAAGACGAACUACUGCGAAAGCAUUUGCCAAGGAUGUUUUCAUUAA